GACGAACGCUGGCGGCGUGCUUAACACAUGCAAGUCGAACGGAAAGGCCCUGCUUGCAGGGUACUCGAGUGGCGAACGGGUGAGUAACACGUGGGUGAUCUGCCCUGCACUUCGGGAUAAGCCUGGGAAACUGGGUCUAAUACCGGAUAGGAGCCAUUUUUAGUGUGAUGGUUGGAAAGUUUUUUCGGUGUAGGAUGAGCUCGCGGCCUAUCAGCUUGUUGGUGGGGUAAUGGCCUACCAAGGCGGCGACGGGUAGCCGGCCUGAGAGGGUGGACGGCCACAUUGGGACUGGGAUACGGCCCAGACUCCUACGGGAGGCAGCAGCGGGGAAUAUUGCACAAUGGGCGCAAGCCUGAUGCAGCGACGCCGCGUGGGGGAUGACGGCCUUCGGGUUGUAAACUCCUUUCGCUAGGGACGAAGCUUUUUGUGACGGUACCUAGAUAAGAAGCACCGGCUAACUACGUG
rnacentral:rRNA from 1 species